CGCAGCUUUCGCCGAAUCCCGGG
rnacentral:piRNA from 1 species